GCGCUCGUAGCUCAAUUGGACAGAGCUUCUGACUUCGGAUCAGAAGGUUGGGGGUUCAAGUCCCUCCGAGCGCGCCA
rnacentral:tRNA from 1 species